rnacentral:rRNA from 1 species
CUACGGGGGGCAGCAGUAGGGAAUUUUCGGCAAUGGGCGAAAGCCUGACCGAGCAAUGCCGCGUGAACGAUGAAGGCCUUCGGGUUGUAAAGUUCUGUUAUCAGGGAAGAACAUACGGAUUAGGAAAUGACUCCGUACUGACGGUACCUGAUCAGAAAGCUCCGGCGAACUACGUGCCAGCAGCCGCGGUGAAUACGUAGGGAGCAAGCGUUAUCCGGAAUUAUUGGGCGUAAAGCGUGCGUAGGCGGUUCGUUAAGUCAAAUCUGAAAGCCCACAGCUUAACUGUGGAGGGCGAUUUGAAACUGGCGAACUUGAGUACGGCAGAGGUUAGUGGAAUUCAAUGUGUAGCGGUGGAAUGCGUAGAUAUAUUGAGGAACACCAGUGGCGAAGGCGGCUAACUGGACCGGAACUGACGCUGAGGCACGAAAGCGUGGGGAGCAAACAGGAUUAGAUACCCCGGUAGUC